GUUAAGUCAUAUCGACUCUUAGCAUAGUACUUUAUUUGCCACUGUUCUUUCUACCUUUAUUUUGCCAGAACUUUCUAUGGGUAAGACAUUCCUUCUGUAACAUUUUAUGAUGUGUAAGACCACACAAGGGUACCCAGAGUCCAUACACAAUGUGCUCUUAUUAUCCUGUGAGAAGUCCAAGCCAGUAACCCAAUCUUAACUCAGUGGUGAGAAGGAACUUAAAACUUAGAACAGGACUUGUUUUCAUUCCUUUCUUGUUAGUAUCAUUCACAACUUCUGUAGAAGGUGGGAGUCCAGAAAGCAAAGGGCGGGAUUUUCUCACAUGAUCUUGACCCAUGUUGGGUUUUCUGUCUUCCAUCUCCACCUUUAACAUUUAAUAUACCACAUCUCUCCAAAGGUCAUGCCUAUUCUAGUGUGCUGCACUCAGUGAAGAAGUUGGAGUAAGCGUCAAAAGAGUGAAGGCCAAGCUCUGACUGUGACAGAGAGUUUGAGAUAGACAACUGAUGCUUUGAAAAACACGUGACUUCUCCCUGGGACCUCCAUCUACUGUAAAUAACCAACAACCUGUUCAAGGAUCAAUGUGCCUCUGAGAUGAGGACAACAAGUCUCCCCUUGCAAUCAGAAUGGACCAUCACUAUGGACCUCAUCUAUUAGAUGCAGGUUGUCUAGCAAGCCUCUGGACAGGCAGCAUGGCAGAAAUCAACUCUUUCCAAAAAAAAGGCUGCUGCUGACACAGUGGAUAGAGCACACACAAGCUCCCUGUCUGACUCCUUCAGCUCCUGCAUGUCUCCUUGGCUAACAUUUCAGAGCUUCUGAUUCUUCAGACAUCAGCUUCUUGAUACUGAAGAGAUUGUUCUACCUGAUGAGCCCAGGCCUAGAAGAUGGACUGCAUCCAAGAAGCCUGGUCCAUCUAAGGCCAAGUCACAUCUUUAAGAAAUAUUUGAAAGCAUUUGUGCACAGGAUAAAGGUGCAAGGACCAAAGUCUCCUUAGACUUUCCAGCAUACAGAGGGUCUGACAGACUCAGGUCAAAGGUUACGUCUGAAGCCUAGAUCAUGAAGAAGGCCCCACUCCACAGUAGAAGCCUGUGGCUGAUGCUGUUGCAACCAGGACUAUGAUUGUGAAACUUUUGUCUGUUCAGGAUAGCAGGUUCAGGAAUCUUGUGCCCAGGUAUCCACAGGCCUUUUUUCAUACAUUUCUUGGUAUAAUUUUGCAAGUCCUGACUUUGGACAUGUCGGGUGCUGAUGGUAUCUCACUUGAUAUAUAGUCCAAGAAAGAUUUUUACCCCUUUAAGGGGCUGGAAAUAGACUGGCCUCACAGUUACCAUUAAAACUGAAGUUCUGUCCUUUGUGGUUAUUGGCCCUUUUAAAACUUGUUUGACUGGA
ensembl:lncRNA